UUCUUUCCAGAAUUAAGAGCAGAGAUACCGUUGAGUUGAGCCUACUUUGGAACAUUCAUCUCAAGAUCGAAAGACGCGAAGCAGGAGGAGGAGAGAAAAUAUGAGAUUUUCUCAGAUCCUUGCCAAAGCGACGUCUCAGAGCCGACGGAAAUCAUCUCUGCUACUUCCCUCGCGAUCCUUCUCGCAGGUUCAAUCGCUCUCAGACCGGCCAUCGUUCGGUAUUGCAUUCGACAUCGACGGCGUAAUUCUUCGCGGCAACAUUCCCAUCGGAGGCUCUCCAAGUGCUCUCAGACGAUUAUAUGACGAUUCACUCCGCACUUUGAAAGUCCCCUAUGUUUUCUUGACAAACGGAGGUGGAGUCCCUGAAUCUAAGAGAGCGUUUGAGUUGAGCAAAAUGUUGGGUAUCAAUAUAUUACCUGCACAGGUUUUACAAGGACAUACUCCUUUCAAGCAGCUGCUGAAGAGAUUUGAAAAUGACCUUAUUAUUGCUGUGGGAAAAGGAGAACCUGCUGAGGUGAUGUAUGAAUAUGAUUUCAAAAAUGUACUCUCUAUAGAUGAGUAUGCAUUUUGCUUUGACAAUAUUGAUCCCCUAGCACCAUAUAAGAAGUGGACAACCUCACAUGUUCUUAAACACAACAGCACCAUUAGAAGCAAUGUUUGCUCACAGAGGGUGCAGGCAGCAUUCAUUGUGAGUGAUUCUGUUGAUUGGAGCAGGGAUAUUCAGGUUCUAUGUGACAUAUUAAGAACAGGAGGUCUUCCUGGAAGGGAAAUUGCUCAUCAACCACCUCUGUAUUUUGCACACGAUGACCUUGCAUAUCAGGCUGUGUUUCCAAGUGAACGUUUUGGUAUGGGUGCUUUCCGAAUUGCAUUAGAGUCCAUCUUCAACAGCAUUCACCAUAAUCCUCUGGAGUACACAACUUUUGGGAAGCCAAAUCCACUUGUAUUCAGGAAUGCUGAAACUGUAAUAGCAGAAGUGCUUGCUCUGAGUCGUGACUGUCAGACAGUGAAUCACGUGAUCGGAGAAAGCCAUGUUUUCAAAACCCUCUACAUGAUAGGAGAUAAUCCUUCUGUGGACAUUAAAGGUGCAAGACAGGCCGGACAUCCUUGGUUUUCCAUUCUGACAAGGACGGGGGUUUUCAGAGGAAAGGGAAAUCAUGCAGAGCAUCCAGCAGAUCUGGGUUUGGGGAGGGGCUUUAGGAGAGGGCUGAAAGCAAGAAAUUGUAAGUUUUGACAGUGAAAGAUUUGAAUGGGAAAGGAAACGAAAUGUUGAUCUUAAGACGUGCUUAAUUGAGCUCUUAUACCCAACCUAGUUGCCUAGCUCAAGUGGUUGACACCGUUGAGGAGGCCGUGGAUUAUAUCUUGAGGAAGGAGGGCAUCCUGUGAGUUCCUAGAUAUUUACCAAAGCAACAUCAUUUUGCCAGUUCAACAAAAGCUUCUUUGCUCUUUGCCAAACAUAAAACCACGUCCACAGAUUCUACUGCAUUAUCUGAUACAAACCUGUGCACAAAUCUUGUAACCAAGAUACCCGCACAGUUCUUAAAUCAAACAUCUAACCAACAUCACAACCCGUCCAUAUCCACCAAAGAGAUUGGAUCUGCAAAUCAAAGACAUAUAUCCAUAAAAGAAAUAUUCACAUACAUCCAAUAUCUGUAUGCUAGACAAUAAUAUCCAGGAACCCAAAAUGGAGGUGUCCAACCAUCCACCUUCCCCCCGGGCAACUAGAAGCAACACACCUUCAUUUUUUAGUUCUUAGAUGUUGAUGUCUUAGGUGGUGGUUGUUUAAAUAUUUAAUGUAUGUUAGUUGACUAUUUGCUUUAUGGACACGUGACUUUUAUGUACAUUUUAUAUUCAUGUCUGACAUGUGGAUUUUAUUUCUUUGGUGCUUGUGAAGUUAUGAUGUAUAUUGGAUA